CUACGGGCGGCACCAGUGGGGAAUAUUGGACAAUGGGCGCAAGCCUGAUCCAGCAAUGCCGCGUGAGUGAAGACGGCCUUAGGGUUGUAAAACUCUUUCGCUAGGGAAGAUAAUGACUGUACCUAGUAAAGAAGUCCCGGCUAACUCCGUGCCAGCAGCCGCGGUAAUACGGCGGGGACUAGCGUUGUUCGGAAUUACUGGGCGUAAAGAGUUCGUAGGCGGACUGACAAGUUAGAGGUGAAAUCCCAGGGCUCAACCCUGGAACUGCCUUUAAAACUGUCAGUCUAGAGACCGGAAGAGGUUAGGGGAAUACCUAGUGUAGAGGUGAAAUUCGUAGAUAUUAGGUGGAACACCAGUGGCGAAGGCGCCUAACUGGUCCGGUACUGACGCUGAGGAACGAAAGCGUGGGGAGCAAACAGGAUUAGAUACCCCCGUAGUC
rnacentral:rRNA from 1 species